AUUGAACGCUGGCGGCAUGCUUUACACAUGCAAGUCGAACGGUAACAGGUUAAGCUGACGAGUGGCGAACGGGUGAGUAAUGCAUCGGAACGUGCCCGGUCGUGGGGGAUAACGAAGCGAAGGCUGCGCUAAUACCGCAUACGAUCUGAGGAUGAAAGCGGGGGACCGUAAGGCCUCGCGCGAUGGGAGCGGCCGAUGUCAGAUUAGGUAGUUGGUGGGGUAAAGGCUCACCAAGCCAACGAUCUGUAGCUGGUCUGAGAGGACGACCAGCCACACUGGGACUGAGACACGGCCCAGACUCCUACGGGAGGCAGCAGUGGGGAAUUUUGGACAAUGGGCGAAAGCCUGAUCCAGCAAUGCCGCGUGCAGGAAGAAGGCCUUCGGGUUGUAAACUGCUUUUGUACGGAGCGAAAAGGUCUCCUCUAAUACAGGGGGCUCAUGACGGUACCGUAAGAAUAAGCACCGGCUAACUACGUGCCAGCAGCCGCCGUAA
rnacentral:rRNA from 1 species